UCUCUCCUUCACAGCACCCUAUCGCUCUGUUUCUCCAUUCUUCCUCUCUCCCAGGCAAUUUACCACACCACAAUAGCAUCAGAAAAACGGCUAACGUUUCCUGAACACCACUACAGGCACUGUGACUUUCCUGUUUCCAGGGACCCACAGGAAGAGAAAGUUACGAUUUAUUGUGAUCUGUGUAAAGACAGAAGUCAGCUUAAGCCCAGGGGUUCCCAAACUGGGGUGCAGAUACCAGCACGGUAUAGCAGUUUAACCUGCUUAAGCUUCCUCAGUUGCAAGAGGGCUGCUGUAACAGGAAGUGCCCCACUGGGUGGAUAUAAUUUAAGAUCCCAUCAUACGUGUGAACACGUCCAGCCUGGCUGAUAGCAAACAACUCUCUUAGCUUCCACUUCUUGUUUGUUAUCUCUUUCUCUUCUCGUUUCCCCUUCCUUGAGCUUCUGCAGGCCCUUGGAUGCAUUAGAAGAUGAUGACUUUCUUUUAUAAUGCAAAGAAAUUGGCAAGCUAUCGCGUAAAUGCUGUUGGGCUCACUCACCAUUCUAUGGAGUCUCUGGGUCGGAGAGGACUUAACCCAUCUACCAGUCUGAUGUGUGAUGGUCAGCCUUCUUUCUCUUUUUCCCACCGGCCUGGCUCUCUCAACAGCCAUCAGGACAUUCUCUGAAACUGAGCAUUCCCUGCUAAGGUAGGACCCUCAGUGUUCUCCUGAGUUCUGUUUCUUCGUGAUUUCCUCCCUGCUCGGCUCUUGGCAGCUCCAGCCUGUACUUUCCCUGUGUGCUUUGGGCUUGGCGGCUGUGUACCUAAGGAAAGUUUAACCACCACUGACUUCCUUCCUGCCCGCCUGCCUCCCUGCUGUGAGCCUGUGAUACUUCUGUUGGCAUCGCAUCCGAAGCAGAGCCAAUAUUCUGAAUAAUGACCUAGAGCUCGUGCCAGCUGGUGAGGUCACUGCGCCAACCCCCGAAAUUGACAAGUCGGGGACUUGAGUUCAGCUUUUAUUGAUCAUCUUCUAUAUGCCAGUCACUAAGCAGGUUCUGAAGAUACAGAGGGGACAAGAAAGACAUGAUCUUUACCUACAAGGACUGACAGCCUGGAAAGACCACCAAAAAAUAGACCAUCUCUGGGAUAUGAAGAGUCAACCGGAAGUAGGUGCCCUGGUCCUGACAGCUCCAACCUGGAUGACAUCCCUUUACUGACUCAGUCCAGGCCUCCUGAGUGUCCUAAUUCUUUACAAUCCAGUUACUCUCAUCGCCUCCUUUCAGAUCUCAAAGGAUUUGAAAGAAUUUUGAUUUCAUCCCAUCUAAAAUGAGUUCCCUCUGGCAAGAAUGAAGAAUGCUGUAGUGGACUUUUACCCCAAGCACAGGGAUGCAAAAUAAAUAAAUCCAAUUCCUGUUUUCAAGAGGUCACAGUCUAGAAGAGAAAAUUACGAUUUACUGUGGUCUGGAUAAAGCUCGAGGUGACCUCGGACAAGUUUCUUGACCUCCUGUGCCUCAGCUUCCUUAUCUGCAAAACAGGAAUAUUAGUAGUGUCUUCCUCCCUGGGGUUGUUCUGCCCUUCAUGUGAGUGCACAGUGUGAAAUGCACACAGUGCCUGGAACACAGUAAGCCCCAUGUAAGGGUUUGUUGAUUUUUUUUAAGUACACGAAAAAACUUCUGAAGAUGAAACAAUGACUCAGUUCUGGGAAGUUCGGACUAGGACAUCUUCCCAGGCACCUGGAGAACUCGCUAAGAUGCAUAUUUCCCAGGCUCCAUCCUAGAGAUCCUGACUUAGUAGAUUUGGGGCAAAGCCUAGGUUUUAAGUCUCUCACUCACUACCCUGAGGGUGAACCACCAGGGGCUGCUUUAGGGUUCAGAUAAAGACUCCUUCAGGGUGGGGUGGGUGACGAAAUGCCUUCCUGGGUGCUCUGAUGCCUUGAAGGACAAAUAGUUAGGUUCAGGGGGCGGUGCUUGGCACAGGGAAUGGCAGGUGCAAAGAGGCCGGAGAGAACUGGUUCGUUUGUGAAACUUCAAGAUAUUUACCAGGAUUGGGACGUCCUGUAUGCGAGGCUGUUAGUUGACUCCGAUUUGAGGACACACCAGGGCUUGCUGUCCUCAGUCAGCACAGGAACAUGCUGAAUCAAGUUCAGUGGAAACCUGCCAAAGAGGAGCUUUUUGAAAUUGUGGGAAGUUUACAUUUUAGGGCUUAAAUUACUGCACCCAGAAGCCCAAAGUAGCUGCUAUCAGAAAAACUGAUUCCAAGAGACUCUGACAAUGAUGCGCAGGCUCUCAUUUUGACUGCAAGGUUCUCUUUCAACAGCCACUCCACCCCAGCAGUGAUUUCAGAGGAGACGGGAAAUGUGAAGAGUCUGCUUAACUCCUCAAACUCAAUGGGCUUAUACAUUUUCAGGAAGGUUGGCUGGGAAGCAGUUUGAAAGAAUAUGAAAUCCAAGGGUCCCUUCCAUCACCCCAGUGUGAUGAAGAAAAAGUGCCCUGGCAUCUGAUGGACAUAGGUCCAACUUUUUUUUUUUUUCUGCUUUAUCUCCUCAAAUCCCCCGGUACACAGUUGUAUAUCUU